GAAACACCGGAAACAAACACGGACGCGGGAGAGGGGGCGGUCCGUCGGCCCGCGGAGGCGGAAGUGACUUUAUCCCAGAAAGCUGCAUCCCAAAGGAAAGAACAGGUAUGCACAGUCACAACGUGUAUCAUCGGGACGGACCCAGCAGAUGCCAGCCUGUCUUCCAACACGGCCCCAGUUCUCUGAUACAGGAGAUUGAAGCUUUUUUCAGUCCUGUGUAAGGUGCUAUGUAAACACAAGCAACUGCCACCCAGCAACACAUACAACCUGAAGCUAUUCCAGGGGACCAAAUUAUGGACAUUUUUCCUCAGUAUGACCAAAGACUUAAAUAAUGUGCUCCAAUUCUUUAGAAUUUUGCCCGCCUCUGUUUUCCACUGUUGGAAGUCUGACCUUUCUUCCCUUACCAAUGAUAAAUCUUGGUUCUUCUCACCUUCUCCCUGGUUUCCUAGAUUGUUGAAAACCAAAUUGCCUUUUGUUUUGAGCACAACUUUUAAUCCAUGAGUUGGAGCCCCACUCAUGCUUAUUAUACUUCUCUAAGUGUGUUAAACAUGAUAAUUUCAUUUUCUAACAAAAUUAUGAAGUGUUUUCUGUCACAAAACUAUUUCUGUCUUUCCUACCAAUAACAGGUACUAAGUGAUUGAACCUUAUAAUUUUUAUCUCAACUAUUUACGUUCUUUUUUCUUUAAGUGAAAUGUUUCUUGUAUACAAAUCUUAGGCUACUUUUAUGCAAAUAUUAAUCAUAAAUAUUGUGAAGAUAUUUUCAGGGGUACAAAAUUGAAUCUUGUGUAGCUGUGGCUUAGGGCUUCAGAGGGUGGAAAUACAAAUCUGAGUUCCUGCCAAUACUCAGGCACAAACCACGUGAUUCUCUAGUCAGGAACCAAGAGAACAAGUGAAAGUUCCCCCUCCAGCAAAAGCAGACUCUUGGCAUAAAGUGAAGAAAGGCAAAGUAUUCUUUAGUAAUGCAUUAAGCAAAUAAAAGCAUCUGGAACACAAAUUUUCACAGCAGUGUCCAUGGGAAAAGAUAUAAAAUGGAAACAUUUAGUAGUGGAGAAAUAACUAAACCAUAUCUCACAGGUUUUUCCUGUUUGCUGCAGAACCAAGCAAACACUU